UACGGGGGGGGCAAGCGUUGUUCGGAAUUACUGGGCGUAAAGGGCUCGUAGGCGGCCAACUAAGUCAGACGUGAAAUCCCCAGGCUCAACCUGGGAACUGCGUCUGAUACUGGAUGGCUUGAAUCCGGGAGAGGGAUGCAGAAUUCCAGGUGUAGCGGUGAAAUGCGUAGAUAUCGAGAGGAACACCUGCGGCGAAGGCGGGUUGCUGGGCUGACACUGACGCUGAGGCGCGAAAGCUAGGGGAGCGAACGGG
rnacentral:rRNA from 1 species